rnacentral:rRNA from 1 species
CUACGGGUGGCACCAGUGGGGAAUAUUGGACAAUGGGGGAAACCCUGAUCCAGCAAUGCUGCGUGUGUGAAGAAGGCCUGCGGGUUGUAAAGCACUUUCGGUUGGGAGGACUGCUUCUAGCACUAAUAUUGUUGGAAGUUGACGUUACCUUCAGAAGAAGCACCGGCUAACUCCGUGCCAGCAGCCGCGGUAAUACGGGGGGUGCAAGCGUUAAUCGGAAUUACUGGGCGUAAAGCGCGCGUAGGCGGCUAGAUCAGUCGGGUGUGAAAGCCCCGGGCUUAACCUGGGAACUGCAUCCGAUACUGUCUAGCUUGAGUACAGGAGAGGAGAGUGGAAUUCCACAUGUAGCGGUGAAAUGCGUAGAUAUGUGGAGGAACACCAAUGGCGAAGGCAGCUCUCUGGCCUGAUGCUGACGCUGAGGUGCGAAAGCGUGGGGAGCAAACAGGAUUAGAUACCCCUGUAGUC